rnacentral:misc_RNA from 1 species
UUUCCGUAGGUGAACCUGCGGAAGGAUCAUUAUUGUAGGGACUCCGGUCCCCUCAAGAUGCAACCCGUGCCUUUUUUGUAGCCCGUAACGUUUCCUCGGCAGCCCCGCUGCCAGCGAGGACCCAAACCAAACCCUGAAGUGAGCGGUUACGUCUGAAAACAAACAAAAUCUAUCAAAACUUUCAACAACGGAUCUCUUGGUUCUGGCAUCGAUGAAGAACGCAGC